GACAUUCAAAUGCUGGUUCUUGUAUGAUCACUGAAGUUAAGCAAUAUUGAGAGUGGUCAGUGCCUUGAUGGGUGACCACUUGGGAAUACCAGGUGCUGUAAG